AAAAAUUUACAUCUGAUUUAGCAUUCAAAUCUCGAACGAUUUGAACUGGCUGAAAGAAGGAAAAAAAGAUUCAAAGAAGAAAAGAAUAAUUAAAACCAAAAGAAGAAGAAAAAGAUACGGGACCAGAAUAGAAACCAAAAUGUAACUCCGAACCUGUUCCACCUGUAAUAGUCGAAUAUGGAAAACAAAAAAAACACAGUCUGGUUUCCAUUCACAGUUUUUUUUACCAAUUCUUGUUAAUUCUCAACCCGGAUUGAAAA